AGGCAAAGCUUUUCUUCUCAGCAGGAUGGGUGCUUUCACAGCCUGUGAUGUCCCUGACUUUCUCCUUUGUGGAAUGAUGACAUUGUCACACCAUGUCACCUUCUGCCCCAGAUGAGCUCGUUUGGUUUCAGCAACCACUAAAGACCUUCACAACAGACUUGGAGUGCUGGGAAAUGGAGAUCAUGGAUAUUAAACUACAUGUUGGUAACACUGGGACAGAAUCUGAGAGUCCUGACACACUGAACCAGAUUCCCAAGGGAUUUGCUCCACAGACUACAGAAGAUAAAGCAGCCAAGUAACGGACCAAAGAUUACCAAACCAAUGAAUCACAAUGCCCAGCUCUCUCUGGUUUAACAUUAAUUAAUUAUUGUGUGUACAGUGGUAAUGAUUAAACAUAAUUGGAGCACUUGUACAAGGGAAUAUACUGUAGACUACUAAUUAAAAUCCUCUCUGAGGAAAACAGGGACAAAGACUAGAUCACAGUAAUCAGCAGGCUUCUGAUUAAAGAGCAAAGGCAGCUUGGAAAUUAUUAAUUUCAGGUUGGCAUCCAGUCAAAGCAAUCCAAAGGAGAAAGAAACUUCGAGGAAAGCAGUGAAGAAAGAGAAUGAACCGUGGAGACACCAAGGACACUGAUCAGGCAGGUCUCAAUGAAACUGAUUUCUGAGUGUCUCCUGUGCACCACUGAGAAAAGCAAGGAGCUGCCCACAGUGAAUAGGAUCACCUCUGAGCAGUAUCUUGUUCCCCCAUUGAUGUCACAGAGCACAUUCUCCAUUUCUCCAAACUUGUCUGGUAAAGCCAGUAGCAACAUGUUAAACCUUCUCAACAGAAUGUAUGUAUGCAUCUGUUUUCUUUUCCAAGGUAAAGGUGCCAUCAAAAGAGUAAGUUAUGCAAGAGAUGUUUUGAAUGGUGUAGCAAGGUACUGCUGUAAAUUAUUCAAUUUACCAGGCUUUUUGGUGUUGGAAGCUGGUACUUGGGAAUGUGAUGUUCACUAAGAUGGUGAAUCACUGGAGUUUAUGCAACAAGUGUCUUACAUAACACCUUGCCUGCUUUUUUAAUGCAAGUGACCACAGCUUGGAAUAACACCAUGGGAAGAGUCAUCAGCCACAGAAACAAUACCACAUAAGGAAAACAAGCCUUCAUCAGAGAUGGAAAUCAUCAGUGGCCAUAUUAGUAACCACCCAGCUUACAGCAGGGAGCAUGUCCUUCGACAGUGAAACACACAGGGCUGUGCAAGUGCAACCCGGAGAGGGAUGAACAAGAUGGCAGAAAAAUAAAACUUUCUCCAUAGAACUGCCACAGCUCAGCUGCUGCUGCAGCAACUUGGACCUGGCAUCCAAGCUGGAAAGAGAUGAGAGAGGAAACAAGGUCCAAUGUGAGCAGAAGCCAGGUUCACAUCAGUCACUGUCUCUGUUCCACACAAACAAAUCCCAGCCUGUAGCUGAAAACCUGCAUCACUCACCCAACCCAAUUGCUCAGCUGCACCCUGAGCUGGGGCAGUGCUGCCUCCAAAGGCUGCACUGUCCUGUCCUACCUGUCAGGGUCUGGCCAAAGAUAACCUUUCCUGAAGGACAGCAGUGUUUUGAAACCUCAGACAGCUACUCAGUCUGCCCAGUGACCUUUACUGAGAGGCCUGUUGGGAGCAGAUAGGCAUUUAUGGAGACCUUGCACUGCAUUUCUCAGAAGCUGAAAUGUCCUGUAACACGAUUCAGCAUUCUUUAAAAUGCUGCCUCAGACUGCCUCGGUUAAGGGGAAGUAUUACUUCCCCCACGUUACUUGUAACCAAAACAAUGGACAUUAUUAUACCCUCUGCUGGCUCUGGGCUGUGCGAGUGGGAGAAGGCAAGUCACAAGUUUUACUAACUAGAUGGAUUGUUUGAUUGCCUCUUCAAAACAUCCCUAAAUCUGGAACGGCAAAGCUGCAGCCACAGCCAUCUUUUAAAUUUUGUGUUUCUGCAAAUGAGGAUUUAUCACUUGCACUGUUGGCAGAUGGAUGACUUGCCACCGAGUCACAGAGAGUUGCUCUUUUUUGCCUUGUUUGCCACUUGUUUCCCACAAAGGCACAGGAUGCUUUGUGUUUUAAAGUAUACCUCUGCCACUUGAUUUUUCAGGUGUGAUUAAGAGUUUUAAAAGAAAAAUAUAUAAAAACAAUGUGGGAAGCAAACAUACCAGCUGAAGACUUCUUCCUGCCCAGGUGUUGCACAAAGAAACCCUGGCUCCACCAAGCGACUCUACAUUAUGGAAGUAAAGGCCAUUUAUAACUUGGAAUUCUGAUUUUUUCACUGCAAAAGUGGACAGAUUCUUCCACUUGAGGUGGAAGUAUCACUUGGUUGAUUAGGUUUGGUUGGUUUUUUUUGGCACUUCUGCCUGAAAUGAUGAACUCUUUAAUCACCCUUUCCUAGGAUACAUUGUGAGUUUAUUUUCAUCUGCAUUUUCCCAUGAAAGAUGAAGAUUUAUCAGAUUACCAGCAGUCUGUAAUCACAACCACACAGUGCCUGAGGUGUGCUGCAGGUGCAGGGUAUAUGCAGAAUUCCCACACAUGCACACUCAGACACACACACACACCUGUCCCACCAACACCCAGAAAGAGUAUU